AUCAAGCUGACGAGUCCCGAAUAGGACUAAACGCGCGUCAUCCUGGAU
rfam:Schistosoma mansoni, Puerto Rico, WGS project CABG01000000 data, contig: 0249